rnacentral:lncRNA from 1 species
CAUAAAACGAUACUGAUUUAAAAUGCACUUUAAUUUUUUUUCAUUGAAAACAGCAAUAUGGUUAUGGUUGCUGGAGAACACAAAGCAUGUAUUGUCAGUCUAUGAAUGUACUUGUCUGUGGCUUAGUGCCUCACAAGGCCUCCAGAGGCAUGGUGUGCUGGGCCAGUCAUAGGACAUACCCUACUAUAUCUUUUAGUUUAACUGUGCUUCAGACAGAUUGAGUUAAAACACAUGCGUUAAUUUUUUUAUCAUGACUCUAAGGUCAUUUUUUCUUAUGUUCACUGGCAUUUUUUAAAAUAAUGAAUUAAUCACAAUCACUCUCUUCACACCCUGUAGUGGCUGCAGAGUUCAAGUUGGGCCUUCCUUGGCUAUUUGCCAUCCCAAUGCCAAUUAGUGUACACAGAGCCUGGAUUCUUCUCCAGCCAGGAGGGGCAUGGUUACAGCCUGGCCUCAUCAUCAGAAGGUAUUUAUCGAAUGCCUCCCAGCUGGAGCUGGGACUGAGAAGUCACCUGCAGAAUGUUGAGACUCACUCUCCUUCCAUCCCCAUAAGAAGAUUAAAAAAAUCUUCCGUGGUUAAAUUUCAUGAGCCAUUUAACUCUCCAGCAGCCAUUUGGUCUUUGCUGUUUCUGUUUUGUGGAAGAAUUUAUUUUAUGUGUUAUUUCCCCCUUAAAUUUUAAGGAUAUGUAUCUUCAUGAAAAGAACAAAGGAAGAAAAACAACUUGUAAAUUAUCACAAGAAAAACCCCUGCUAAAAGCAAUAAGUUUGCUGACAGAUGGCAGAAUCAGUUGAAAAGCGAGUACCAUAUUUACUAAGUCUAACCCAUUUAGUAAGCCAAAAAAGUGUUAUCUAAUUCUAUCCCCUGUGUAUGCAUGUGUUUUGGAAUAAACAGAUGCCUAAUGAGGAAUGUGUCUAGUGUAGUUUUGGAGGAACCUGGAUAAACCCAGGUUCUGAUUCAGGGUUUGA